rnacentral:rRNA from 1 species
UACGGAGGGUGCGAGCGUUAUCCGGAAUCACUGGGUUUAAAGGGCGCGUAGGCGGCGGGAUAAGUCAGAGGUGAAAGCCCGGGGCUCAACCUGGGAAUGGCGGUGGAUACGGGAUAGCUGGAAUAAGGGAGAGGGUAGUGGAAUGUGGGAUGUAGCGGUGAAAUGCAUAGAGAUCUCGUAGAACACCAAUGGCGAAGGCGGUUGCCUGGCCCAUAAUUGACGCUGAGGCGCGAAAGCGUGGGGAGCAAACAGG